rnacentral:rRNA from 1 species
GUAGCAUAAUAAUUUGUCUUUUCNUUGGAGACUAGUAUGAAAGGUAUAACNAANNNCAACUGUCUCCUUAUAUAACCGGAACUUGAUUUAAAAGUGAAAAAGCUUUUAUUUUUUAGGAGGACGAGAAGACCCUAUAGAGUUUUAGUAAAAUAGUGAUUAUAAAUGUUAUUAUUUACUUUUAUUGGGGCAAUAGGAGAAUAUAAAAAAUCUCUACAUAUAUCGUCUCUAAGAGAAUAAAAUAAACUACCUUAGGGAUAACAGCGUAAUUCUACCAGAGAGUUCUAAUUGAAGGUAGAGAUUGCGACCUCGAUGUUGGACUAAGGAACCAUUUAUAUGUAGAAGUAUAAAAUGUAAGCCUGUUCGGCUUUUAUAACCUUACAUGAUCUG